CAUUACAAGUUGACCCCGGCCCUCGGGCCGGGAUGUUCACAACCCUUUGUUGUCCGACUCUGUUGCCUCCGGGGCGACCCUGCCUCCGGGCGGGGGCCCCGGGUGGACAUUUCAAACUCUUGCGUAACUUUGCAGUCUGAGUAAAUUUAAUUAAUAAAUUAAAACUUUCAACAACGGAUCUCUUGGUUCUGGCAUCGAUGAAGAACGCAGCGAAAUGCGAUAAGUAAUGUGAAUUGCAGAAUUCAGUGAAUCAUCGAAUCUUUGAACGCACAUUGCGCCCCCUGGUAUUCCGGGGGGCAUGCCUGUUCGAGCGUCAUUUCACCACUCAAGCCUCGCUUGGUAUUGGGCGACGCGGUCCGCCGCGCGCCUCAAAUCGACCGGCUGGGUCUUUCGUCCCCUCAGCGUUGUGGAAACUAUUCGCUAAAGGGUGCCGCGGGAGGCCACGCCGUAAAACAACCCCAUUUCUAAGGUUGACCUCGGAUCAGGUAGGGAUACCCGCUGAACUUAAGCAUAUCAAUAAGCGGAGGAA
rnacentral:rRNA from 1 species